rnacentral:rRNA from 1 species
UAUCCGGAAUUAUUGGGCGUAAAGCGCGCGUAGGCGAUUUUUUAAGUCUGAUGUGAAAGCCCACGGCUCAACCGUGGAGGGUCAUUGGAAACUGGAAAACUUGAGUGCAGAAGAGGAAAGUGGAAUUCCAUGUGUAGCGGUGAAAUGCGCAGAGAUAUGGAGGAACACCAGUGGCGAAGGCGACUUUCUGGUCUGUAACUGACGCUGAUGUGCGAAAGCGUGGGGAUCAAACAGGAUUAGAUACCCUGGUAGUCAAGGGCG